CUCACAUUUGCUGCUGGGGAACUUAUCUUUGUUGUUCUCCUUUUUCCACUUCAUCCUCCUGUUCUGAAACCAGAUUUUCACUUGCCUUUCGGUCAGUCCCAGGGCGUGCGAGACUUCAAUUCUCCGCUUUCGGGUCAGGCUUCAUAAUCUUUCAAGAAGUUGUACAAUUACAUGGAUUUUGGAUAUAAACAAAAAUGGAAACAACUAUGCAUGAUUUUCUUUUGAGUAGAGAAUAAAGAUAUCCAGCUGAAGAAUUCUGGAUCAUCACCCUUCCAUCCCUGCGGAAAACAACCUUCAGUGUCUACACUUCUUUCCUGUACAAGAAAAUCCUUCAAACCAGGCAAUGCUAUUUGAAAUGUAAAGUUAAAAUCUGCCUAUCAAAUUUUGAAAAAAUGACGGCAGACAAAAACAAUGGUAGAAAAAUUCUGUAC